CCUACGGGAGGCAGCAGUGAGGAAUAUUGGUCAAUGGACGAGAGUCUGAACCAGCCAAGUAGCGUGAAGGAUGACUGCCCUAUGGGUUGUAAACUUCUUUUAUAUGGGAAUAAAAUGUUCCACGUGUGGGAUUUUGUAUGUACCCUAUGAAUAAGGAUCGGCUAACUCCGUGCCAGCAGCCGCGGUAAUACGGAGGAUCCGAGCGUUAUCCGGAUUUAUUGGGUUUAAAGGGAGCGUAGGUGGAUUGUUAAGUCAGUUGUGAAAGUUUGCGGCUCAACCGUAAAAUUGCAGUUGAAACUGGCAGUCUGGAGUACAGUAGAGGUGGGCGGAAUGCGUGGUGUAGCGGUGAAAUGCUUAGAUAUCACGAAGAACUCCGAUUGCGAAGGCAGCUCACUGGACUGCAACUGACACUGAGGCUCGAAAGUGUGGGUAUCAAACAGGAUUAGAUACCCCAGUAGUC
rnacentral:rRNA from 1 species